CUAGGAGAAGUUAGGGCUGUCUCAUGCUAUAAUGCCUCAGAGUUAAUUAGAAAAUAAGGGCUUAUUUCCUCACACUGAAGAACUAUUCUUCUGAGGCACUGGAUUCUGGUAAUGGUGGAACUGCAUGUUGGGUCAUAAUGGAAGAAAGGACAUUAAGGAUCUAGGAGAACAAGACAAGGCAGAAGUAAAAUGGAUGAGCCAAACAGGUCGUCUCUAACAGCUUACAUGAACUCUUCUGUGUGAGAGUUCGAACAAGUGAAGAUAUUCCUGUGCAUUCUCAAGGAGAAGAUGGGCUGUCAGCUGGCAAAAAAAAAGUGUGUCUGACUUUUGCAGAGAUGAUGUGCACUCCAAAGGGAAGGCUAAGAUACUGAAGAUGAAGAGCGAUGGAAAGCAGAGAUGAAGAAAACAGAGGUGGAAAUGAUUAGUGACCCCUACUAAGGAGAAUGAUCUUCAAACUGGAAAAGAGAGAAAAUCUCAAGAGGAAAAUGAACUUAAGAUAGAAGACAAGAUAUUUGAGAAUAUCCAGGUUACAGUAACCUUUAUAGAUAUGUGGGAGGACCCCUAGAGUUCUGUCUGAAGAUUGUUAAUGAAAAGCCCAUCUUAUCAACUCAGGGGAAGAGGCUCAUACUGUCUGAAGUGGCCCAUUGUUUGGAGUUAUUCCUGGCUGAUGACUCUCACCAUCAUAAAUAUUAGGAGGGAGUGGAGACGGAGAGGACACAGGGAAAAGGGAAGAAAGCACUGACCCCAGAGAAGUCCUCCACAAAGUUCAUCUCCCCAGGAAACAAGACAAAACAGAGACAAUAAAAUGUCCAGUAUCAAAUAAAUAAGGGUCAUGUGAUUCCCAAGUAAACUGACCAGAAUGCUCAUCAAAUUCGAAGAAGCGGAGUCAGAUCGUUUCCAAAGGUGAAAGCUGCGCCCCUUCGAAGUCAGUGACCUGUGGAAUGUGGCGAUCUUGUCUUGUAUUUAAUAUUAGCCUUGAGCUAACAUCUGCUGCCAAUCCUCCUCUUUUGCUGAGGAAGACUGGCCCUGAGCUAACAUCCGUGCCCAUCUUCCUCUACUUUAUAUGUGGGACACCUGCCACAUCUGGGCUUGCCAAGCGAUGCCAUGACUGCACCCGGGAUCUGAACCGGCAAACCCCAGGCCGCCGAAGCAGAACGUGAGAACUUAACUGCUGUGCCACCGGGCCGGCCCCUAACUAUAUUUUCCUAAUGGAUCUUUUGCCCAAGCAUGAUUUUGCCAUAUAAUGCAUCUAUCAUUUGGAAAAUGUUGAUUCAUUGAGUGAAUAGUUGACCUCCCACUUAUUGGCUAUACAAUAUAUUAAAAGUCACAUUUGUUAAUAUCAUUGACCUCGUUGGAAAGGUCUUUAAGCAUUGGGAGGCUGUCAGGUUUACAUUAGCACACACAAGUUUUCCAAAAUUCUUUUUUGCUUGAAGGCUCAAAUUUUAUCUUUGGCAGCAAAUAAUGACGGUUGUUUUCCUCUCGGUGACAAGCUCUCUUUAUUUAAACUCAAGAAAAAGUCUAAGUAGCCAGGCCUGAAUAACAAUA
rnacentral:lncRNA from 1 species